UGGGGGAUAUUGCACAAUGGGCGAAAGCCUGAUGCAGCGACGCCGCGUGGGGGAUGAAGGCUUUCGGGUUGUAAACCUCUUUCGCUAUCGAACAAGGCCCGCUUAGGGUGGGUUGAGGGUAGGUGGAGAAGAAGCGCCGGCUAACUACGUGCCAGCAGCCGCGGUAAUACGUAGGGCGCGAGCGUUGUCCGGAAUUAUUGGGCGUAAAGGGCUUGUAGGCGGCUUGUUGCGCCUGCUGUGAAAACGCGGGGCUUAACUUCGCGCGUGGCGUGGGUACGGGCAGGCUUGAGUGUGGUAGGGGUGACUGGAAUUCCAGGUGUAGCGGUGGAAUGCGCAGAUAUCUGGAGGAACACCGAUGGCGAAGGCAGGUCACUGGGCCAUUACUGACGCUGAGGAGCGAAAGCAUGGGUAGCGAACAGG
rnacentral:rRNA from 1 species